rnacentral:ncRNA from 1 species
ACAACAGCGAUGACGAAGAAACGCUGUGAUUGAGAAAUCCCCAGAGAGCCGAUGGUUGCUGCGAAUCGGCGAUUUCUCCCACGGUUAAGCACUUCUGAGCUGCUGCGUUGAAAAUGGAUUCACCAUCCAAGUAGACGCAAACGGUAGAACCGUUAUCUCUUUUAGGUCAUGUACCUACCAAGGCUCUUUUUUGAGAAAAAAGGAGCGAAUGAGGGUGGCACCGCGAAGCAAAGCCUCUCGUCCCUCAC